GAGCCCUCUGAGCGACGUUUGUAGUCGUGAAUGGUCAGCGUUUUGCUGAUGUGCGCACCUAAUCGGUGGUAAAUUCGAUACUCUCCGCUAAUAAAAAUAAUUGUCAAGUAGAAUUAUUACUUUAGCUUUGGCUUUAGCAAACUUUAUAUUGCGAAUCCACCGCAUAUGCCGACAUACUUAUAUAUUAUUCAAUAAAUUAAUAAUUUUAAAAAGAAUUCGAACCAUGGUGUGCUAGAACUUUAACAAGGGGGGUUUGCUGAUGCAAAAAGAUGAGUAGGUGAAAAGCGAAGUCAUAACUUUCGACGGACAACCUUGACAAGAGGGGAUCGUAUUGCGCGUUCCCCGACGUUCCAUUGGCAUUGUCGUAUUCCAUUGUCCCAAUCGUAUUGCGAUAACGCGACAGUUAAGCUUGUGGCGCAGUGUGGACUGACGGAACUUUUAGCUCUAAUAUUCUUUUUCAUGCACUUUAAAUAUUUAUUAACGUGAAGUUGGAGAAGAGAAAGGCCCAUCAAUAUUUUACGACGCAAAUGCGACGUAGCUUUUGAUUGUAAAAGUGUUCCUCUCCCUCGGAUGAAGUCCUUUGGAGGGUCUCGAGCAUUCUAUUUCUAUCGAAGUGAUACAGACCACCGAUGACAUCGCUACAAUGGACGGAACUAUUGACGGCGGUACUAUUGACAAAGUCUAAGUUUGUGAAUUCAGUUAGCUAUAACUUUUAAUCCUUUACUUGGUGGUGAUGCAUAUUUGCAUCAUACCGUUUAAAUUCAAUUAUUUUUCAACUAUGGAAAAUCUUUUUGAUGCAGUUCAGCAACUUUUGUUUUUUAUACAACAAGAAUUCUUUCCAAUACCAUCAGCUGAUUACUUUUCCCGCCAAUUUUGUGAAUGUGGUAAUCUGAAUUCGUUGUGCAGUUUCUCAUCCAAAUAUAAAAAAAGUUGUAUUGUUGAUUCAAUUUAUAUUUAUAAACAGCGAUCCUCGACAUGAUCGACUUUUUAAAAUAAGGCCGGUAAAACACCGUUGGAGCAGUUCUUGUGCAAGUAGCAGAAGUUUUGACUAAAUUGGACGCUACAAAAAGUCGAGGAAAACGUGGGUCUAGUAUCCAACAUGCAUAGGAUGGAAAAAAGCUUAAAGGACCCUCACGAACAAUGCCGAACAAAAUGGUUCGGCAGGAUCAAUUCGGUCAUUGGCCUGUCUGGACUGGCAAGCGGCUGCGCUGCAAAAAUCCGAACUGCACUGGGUUCUCCCAAACGGAGUACGAAAAAGAUCCGCAAGAAAGGACUGGGCACACCAAAGACUAAACUGCGUUGAUGAUAAAAGGACAAUAUGAAAAUAUUAUAAAGAACAUACAUGGAAAAACGUGAACCCCAAAGCAUCAAGCAAACCCCAGUAAAGGAGAGCUUAAAAAUAAAUAAUAAAAUAAAAACAGGAAAGGAAGCUAACUUCGGUAAGCCGAAGUUUAUAAACCCUUUCCGUUAUAAGAAAUAAUCAAUGGUAGUAACACCACGUUAAAUUUUUAAGGACUGUUGCUAGCUUCAGUAAUAUUAGAAAAAAAAUAU